rnacentral:rRNA from 1 species
CCCUUAGAUGUUCUGGGCUGCACGCGCGCUACAAUGAUGCAUUCAACGAGCAUAGCUGCCUCGAAAGAAAGCGGCGAAUCUUUUGAAACUGCAUCGUGACGGGGAUAGAUGAUUGUAAUUAUUCAUCUUCAACGAGGAAUUCCUAGUAAGUGCAAGUCAUCAACUUGCGCUGAUUACGUCCCUGCCCUUUGUACACACCGCCCGUCGCUCCUACCGAUUGAGUGAUCCGGUGAGCUAUUCGGACCGUAUGCUUGUCACUUUGGCUUGCGUAUGGGAAGUUUCGCGAACCUUAUCACUUAGAGGAAGGAGAAGUCGUAACA